GUGGCUUCCAGAGCAUGCAGGCUCAGUAGUUGAGGCUCGCUGGCUUAGUUGCAAGGCAUAAGGGAUCUUAGUUCUCUGACUUGGAUUAGCCCUCGUCCCUUGUAUUGGAAGACAGAUUCCUAACCAUUGGAUCACCAGGGAAGUCCCAAUAUGGUGCUUGACGUUGACACCUGGUCUCUAGAAUUGAAGGAUUCUUACUUUUGGAGGAUGGAGUACCUUGUCUCCUGAAGGUGUUUGCAAAUUUGCAUCAGGCGGACUCAGACGGUGUUGUUUUCUUCCCACAGCUUGCCUUUCUGGGUGAAGCACAAGGCCAACAUGCUGAAGAGCGAGAUAAGAGAAGUCAAAGAGCUUGAUGACUGGCAGCCAGCGAUCUCCUUGCUACACAGUUUGCUCCCUGCCGGUUCUUUGGACUUUCCAAGACAGUCCUGAACAGAAACAGGUCCAGGAAGCAGGCACCGACUGGCCCCUGGAGAGCCUUUUCCUGUUGAUUGCUUCUGUUAGUGCAACUGUUCUAAAUCAAAUGUUUGACUUGGAUGCAAAAA